UAAACUAUGGUGCAGCGUGUAUGAAAAGAAACCAUAGAUUACUUAAUGCACCUGAUAUUGAGAAGAAUAUUGCCUCAUGGUUGGAGCAUAUGGGGAAGACUAUGAUAGACACACUUAGAAAACCCAAAAUUCAAGGCCCUCAAUUUCUAGCAUUCCACUUCACGAUACGCACAGAAAAAAACGCCGAAGUCAUUUGCCCUCCUGAAGCUUUGGAAUGCCCCUUGAAGUCCUUGGAUACAUCUUCUGGAGUGGGAGAACAAUAUGGGGCCUUUCUAGAGCUCAGAAAGACACGGCUCAGGAGAAGAGGGCAGACAGCGAUGCUUUCUAACUGUCUUCCAUCAGUAACACUAACCAGAGUGACAAAGGUGGACUGAAUCCCACUGAAACUCUGCCAUCAUCUAGACACCCCAAUGAUACUCUAAGGGCAGGGCAACCAUAGAAGUGUUCUGCCAUAAUAGAGAACUGCAUUUUGUCUGUAAUUAUUUAAAAAAUUAAAAUAACAGGUGACUUGUUUUUA